UUCUUCCGACGGUGUCCUUUCACUCCAAGCACCCAAGCUGAACUCCAAGGAGAAUCCUUCUCGUGAAAUUCCUAUCACUCAUACACAUGCUCCAGCUUUGAAGCAAAGAAAGGAUAAAAAUGAGAAAAUGGAAAAGUAAUUUUAAAAGAAAAAAAAAUUCAUUCCAAUUAAAUGUCUGAUAUGUAACUUUUAAGUCUGAUUUAAUUGCUUUCUUUUAACUAUUUAUUGUUAGUAUCCCGUGUUUUUUUGUACCUUCAAUAAAAAUAAAACAAUUUUUGAAUGUA